AUAUCAAUAAGCGGAGGAAAAGAAACCAACAGGGAUUGCCUUAGUAACGGCGAGUGAAGCGGCAACAGCUCAAAUUUGAAAUCUGGCCCUCGGGUCCGAAUUGUAAUUUGUAGAGGAUGAUUUUGGUGCGGUAUCUUCCGAGUUCCUUGGAACAGGACGCCUUAGAGGGUGAGAGCCCCGUACGGUUGAAUGCCUAGCCUCUGUAAAUCUCCUUCGACGAGUCGAGUAGUUUGGGAAUGCUGCUCUAAAUGGGAGGUAAAUUUCUUCUAAAGCUAAAUAUUGGCCAGAGACCGAUAGCGCACAAGUAGAGUGAUCGAAAGAUGAAAAGCACUUUGAAAAGAGGGUUAAAUAGCACGUGAAAUUGUUGAAAGGGAAGGAUUUGUGACCAGACUUUUUCUGGGCGGAUCAUCCGGGGUUCUCUCCGGUGCACUUUGCCCAGUAAAGGCCAGCAUCGAUUUUCGGCGGCGGAUAAAAGCAGUGGGAAUGUGGCUCCCUACGGGGAGUGUUAUAGCCCAUUGUAUAAUACGCUGCUGGGGAUCGAGGUACGCGCUUCUGCAAGGAUGCUGGCGUAAUGGUUAUCAAUCACCCGUCUUGAAACACGGACCAAGGAGUCGAACAUUUAUGCGAGUGUUUGGGUGUUAAACCCUCACGCGUAAUGAAAGUGAACGGAGGUGAGAGCCCGUACGGGUGCAUCAUCGACCGAUCCUGAAGUUUUCGGAUGGAUUUGAGUAAGAGCAUAACUGUUCGGACCCGAAAGAUGGUGAACUAUGCGUGGAUAGGGUGAAGCCAGAGGAAACUCUGGUGGAGGCUCGCAGCGGUUCUGACGUGCAAAUCGAUCGUCAAAUCUGCGCAUGGGGGCGAAAGACUAAUCGAACCAUCUAGUAGCUGGUUAC
rnacentral:rRNA from 1 species